CCCACUGUUUCAGCAGACUGAGAGUAGCAGAGAUAUGAUUUUAUCCAGCAGGAGAGUGGCUCCAAAUAAGAAGACCACCGAGCAGGUGACAUAUGGUGCCAAAUGUAGGCUGUCAGCAGAGAAAGACUGAGAUGCAAGUAAUGAGACAAAGAGAUGAGCUUGGGUUCACAAAGGAACAUUUGGAGGAAAAAUCUCUGCAAGUGCCAAUGUAUGACUGUGAGAGAUGGACUUCAAAGAAAGAUAUGAGUCACAGAAUCAAUACUUUCAAUUUGUGGUGCUUCACAAACCUUUUCAGCCUCCCCUGGAUAUCAAGGAGAUCAAAUCAGUCAAAACCUAAAGAAAAGAUUUCAGAGUAUUCACCAGAAGGUCAAAUGCCAAUGUACAUUAUGAGAGGGCAGGAAUCAUUGGAAAAGACUCUGAUGUUGGGAAAGAUCAAAAGCAAAAGAAGAGGAGGAGACAGCUAUAUACUGUCAAGAAAGCAAUGAAAGUCUUCGAUUUGACUUUGGAGGGGCUUGGGCUUGAUAUCUCAGACUACUUCCCUUUGGACUGACAAGUGGUGAGUGAAGAACUGACUCCCUUUCCUUGGAUUUCUAAAGGGACUAGCCUCAGGAGAGAUCUACCCUUUUGAGAGAGGCUCCCCGUAUCCCCAGGUCCUUGACUCAAAGCUGAGGCCCCUUCGGCUAAGGUUUAACUAGCCCUGCCUGGGUUGAGCCAGGGUCAGACCAAAUACUUAGUUUGUAACCUAAAUAUUUUGCCCUAUCCUCUCUCUGAUUUUCUUACUUUCACUCUUUCUAGAUUUUAUGAAUAAAUUAUCAAAAUAAAUCUCUUUGGAAUCA
rnacentral:lncRNA from 1 species